rnacentral:rRNA from 1 species
UAGGGAAUCUUCCGCAAUGGGCGAAAGCCUGACGGAGCAACGCCGCGUGAGUGAUGAAGGUCUUCGGAUCGUAAAACUCUGUUGUUAGGGAAGAACAAAUUUGUUAGUAACUGAACAAGUCUUGACGGUACCUAACCAGAAAGCCACGGCUAACUACGUGCCAGCAGCCGCGGUAAUACGUAGGUGGCAAGCGUUAUCCGGAAUUAUUGGGCGUAAAGCGCGCGUAGGCGGUUUCUUAAGUCUGAUGUGAAAGCCCACGGCUCAACCGUGGAGGGUCAUUGGA